CAAAGAAGGAAGCAUGACUAUGUACACGUAAAUUAAUCGGGUCGUCAUGUCUGCCCCCUCUGACUCUCUCAUGAUUCGGGGGCCUGGAUUAUACCCACAUCU
rfam:Daucus carota subsp. sativus cultivar DH1 chromosome 8, whole genome shotgun sequence.